rnacentral:lncRNA from 1 species
UACAUGGCAAAAUCCGUAUCAUAUGUCGUAUCAUCCCGAGACAUCAAUAUCAGCCCAAGGGCCUUUAGACCCGAGGGAUGAUAUUGGUCGAGGGUGAUACGGCAUGUGAUACGGAUUUUGCCAUGUAUUAUACGCUUUAUCAUAUAUUUCAACAGAAGAGUAUUAUAUUAUAUGAACUGUUUUCUGAUCCAUAGCACUGGGUUACCUUCAGU